GCCGACGUAGCUCAAUCGGCAGAGCACAUGUUUUGUAAACAUGGGGUUAUGGGUUCAACUCCCAUCGUCGGCU
rnacentral:tRNA from 1 species